UAAAUAUCUUUCUCAGUGUUCAUCUCAACAUAUGUAGGCCACAAGGGAUGAAGCCAGCAUAUAAACCCAGAUGGUGUAACUAGACAAAAGACAAAAAUAAGGCUCUGAAAGUUGGGUGAAUUAAUCUCCUCAAUUCAUGCUACAGCAGCAUCACCCCUGGGUCUACACAAUCUCCUGCUCUUCCUUCAGCACUACAGCUGGAAAGUCAGUCUUGCAUGUUGCUAUGUGUUCUCCUUUGCUUAUAUCUCCUGCGUGAGACCCCACGGUUUGUGUAUUUCUCCCAUUUUACCUUCAACUUUCCUAGUGAUGGGACCAGAGUGACUCCAGGCCUUCAGCUCCACAAAUAUUACCGCAAAGAACAUCCUCUAAUGUAUCAUCUAUAACUCAAGCUUGGGCCUGGAACUCCAGUAUUAUAGUAAAUCAGUGAUAAUGAACAUUUUCUCUAGCCCUUGAUUUUAAAAA